AAAUUGAAGAGUUUGAUCAUGGCUCAGAUUGAACGCUGGCGGCAGGCCUAACACAUGCAAGUCGAGCGGUAGCACAGAGAGCUUGCUCUCGGGUGACGAGCGGCGGACGGGUGAGUAAUGUCUGGGAAACUGCCUGAUGGAGGGGGAUAACUACUGGAAACGGUAGCUAAUACCGCAUAAUGUCGCAAGACCAAAGUGGGGGACCUUCGGGCCUCAUGCCAUCAGAUGUGCCCAGAUGGGAUUAGCUAGUAGGUGGGGUAACGGCUCACCUAGGCGACGAUCCCUAGCUGGUCUGAGAGGAUGACCAGCCACACUGGAACUGAGACACGGUCCAGACUCCUACGGGAGGCAGCAGUGGGGAAUAUUGCACAAUGGGCGCAAGCCUGAUGCAGCCAUGCCGCGUGUGUGAAGAAGGCCUUCGGGUUGUAAAGCACUUUCAGCGGGGAGGAAGGCGUUAAGGUUAAUAACCUUGGCGAUUGACGUUACCCGCAGAAGAAGCACCGGCUAACUCCGUGCCAGCAGCCGCGGUAAUACGGAGGGUGCAAGCGUUAAUCGGAAUUACUGGGCGUAAAGCGCACGCAGGCGGUCUGUCAAGUCGGAUGUGAAAUCCCCGGGCUCAACCUGGGAACUGCAUUCGAAACUGGCAGGCUAGAGUCUUGUAGAGGGGGGUAGAAUUCCAGGUGUAGCGGUGAAAUGCGUAGAGAUCUGGAGGAAUACCGGUGGCGAAGGCGGCCCCCUGGACAAAGACUGACGCUCAGGUGCGAAAGCGUGGGGAGCAAACAGGAUUAGAUACCCUGGUAGUCCACGCCGUAAACGAUGUCGAUUUGGAGGUUGUGCCCUUGAGGCGUGGCUUCCGGAGCUAACGCGUUAAAUCGACCGCCUGGGGAGUACGGCCGCAAGGUUAAAACUCAAAUGAAUUGACGGGGGCCCGCACAAGCGGUGGAGCAUGUGGUUUAAUUCGAUGCAACGCGAAGAACCUUACCUG
rnacentral:rRNA from 1 species